UACAGGAGGUGCAAGCGUUGUUCGGAAUUAUUGGGCGUAAAGCGCGUGUAGGCGGCUUUGCAAGUCGGGUGUGAAAGCCCUCAGCUCAACUGAGGAAGUGCGCCCGAAACUGCAGAGCUUGAGUGCCGGAGAGGGUGGCGGAAUUCCCCAAGUAGAGGUGAAAUUCGUAGAUAUGGGGAGGAACACCGGUGGCGAAGGCG
rnacentral:rRNA from 1 species